UACGUAGGGUGCGAGCGUUAAUCGGAAUUACUGGGCGUAAAGCGUGCGCAGGCGGUUCGCUAGGACCGAUGUGAAAUCCCCGGGCUUAACCUGGGAACUGCAUUGGUGACUGGCGGGCUAGAGUAUGGCAGAGGGGGGUAGAAUUCCACGUGUAGCAGUGAAAUGCGUAGAGAUGUGGAGGAAUACCGAUGGCGAAGGCAGCCCCCUGGGCCAAUACUGACGCUCAUGCACGAAAGCGUGGGGAGCAAACAGG
rnacentral:rRNA from 1 species